ensembl:snRNA U1 U1 spliceosomal RNA
UUACUUACCUGGCAGGGAGAUACCAUGAUCAGAAAGGUGGUUUUCCCAGGCUGAGGCUCAUCUAUUGCACUGUGGGAGUGCUGAGUCCUGUGAUUUCCCCAAAUGUGGGAAACACAACUGCAUACCCAGUUUGGGUCUCUGACCAUGAAAUCCUAAU